GAGAAGGUGAAUGACAAGCUUUUAGCUGCAACUCAACGUUUUCCUUGUUUGGGGGCUGCAAGAAGAGGUAACAAAAUGAAAGGCAUUGUGUUGGUGAUCACGGCGCUGGUUUUUAUCAAUUUAUGCAAUGGUAUUCCAAAGAUUAUUGAAGGGAAUGGGAUGCUCGAGAGCAAGCAAGGGAAGGACGUGCGCAAGCUGUCUAGUACUAGUAUCGACGGACGGAGUGCCCCUGCUGGCGAGGAAAUACAUCAUGUGUGCUCACUAGGGAGCUAUCCCUGCCGAGCGACGUCCGAGAAUUCUGAGGAAAGCACACAAGAUGCUGGGGGAAAUUAACUCAGACUAUGAUCAUUGGAAGAAAAGUAUGGGUGUAAGAUUAAUGUAUACAGUAUGUCCUUAGGGCUUUGCUAUGUAUAAUGUAUCUUGGAAUUGUCUGUUGAUUAUUUGAUCAAGUUUAUAUCUUGUACUUCUGAAAUUAACAUAUUUAUAAAUAAAAUCCCCAAUAAUUCUACUUCUAA